AUGAACAUCUUUCACCAAUCUACUUGACUUUACAUCCUAAUGCAAGUAGGACAUGUUUGAUGUCCUUCAUGCUAAUAUGACGUCACAUGACAUGCAUAAGCUAUAAGGAAGGGAGUUGUCCUUCACUCCAUGGAACACAACUACAGGACUGAAAUUGUAAAGCGAGAAGGACACAGACAGAUGAAGACCAUGAAGCUGAGAAGGCGCAGGAAGCUGAGAAGGCGCGGAGAGAGGGGGCCAGGCCAAAGAAAAAGUUCAAAUAAGUCCGCAGAGGAGGGAGCAGUGAGCGCCAUCUACUGCGCCGUGUCGGAGGAAGCAGAAGAAGUACUUUGACAGCGACUGUUCCCUGGUCCUCCCCCCCCCUAGCUCGGGACCCGGCCCUCGCUGCCAAGGACUUUGACAUCUGCCAGAGACUGACCUCCAGGUUGUGAUGAAAGCCUCUUGAUAACAGGAAGGAGUCAAAGUCUAUGUUCUUUAUGCCUUCUCUGACAUCUCAUCACAACAAAUCCAUUGUAAAAAAGAAAAUAUUUGAUAUACUUUUGUGUACUUUUCUUAUUCAAAUGUCUGAUGUGAUUUAUGACUCCUCUGGUGGUGUGUUGUCAACAACUGGGCCAUGAGUGAAAGUACAAGAACUUCCCUUUAUUGAGUGAUUUGACAAGAAAAGAUGCUUUUUGAAGAAGUGUGUCCUUCAGCGCUGCACUACUUGGCUGCAGAGACAAAUUGAUAUCAUUUUGUUGGCUAUUUUCUGUGGACUGCAGUACCUUUCUGUCGCUCCUCCACCAUUUCAUGGAUGAGCUCCUCCAGCACAGGAGCCACGUGGUCCAGCUGCUUGGGUGAAAGUCGCACCGUGAUGUCCACUGUUUUGUCCUACAAACACACACAUUUUGGUUGGACAAUGACACAAGUGUACACAAGGUUGUGCGCACACACCAGGUUGGUGGCGUGCUCAGCUGGAGGAAGUUGCUCCACGGUGACUUCUUCAAAGUGGCCAUCCUCCGACCGAGGCUCCAUGUCCUUCCUUCCCUCUCGCUCCUGCACAAUGGAGCACAUACACACGAUGUCACUUUGUUAUAGCACCACAAUACACCUAUAGUGUACAUAAAACACUGGUGAUAAUAAUAAACAUUAUGAUUAUAUUUUAA